GCCUCUGUAGCUUAAAACGCAAAGCACUG
rnacentral:tRNA from 2 species